rnacentral:misc_RNA from 1 species
UAAAUUCUCAACCUUUUAUGACUUCUGUGUUUUAAAGGCUUGGAUUAUGGGAGCGUGCUGGUGAUUAAUUAUUUAUUUAAUCAAUCAGCUCUCCUCAAAUAUAUUAGCUUGGAUGAAUCACAAUCGUCUUUGAUAUGAUAAUUAUCUUAUAUCAAUGGAUUGAGAUUAGUCUGCUUCAAAUCUCACUAUUAUCAUCAUU